CUGUCACCAGAGGCCAGGUGCCAGGCGGCAGAGCGGUGGCAGUGAUAGGUGAAGUUCUGACGGGCAGUGAUACUCAGCAGGCGAAGGAAGGUCAACUGGACGACUCCAAUGGGGUUCUUGUCCGAGUCAACGGAGACAUCUUAACCUAAACACAAGAAAAACCAAUGAGCAACAACGUUAUAUCUCAUCCAGCUCAACAUAAUCGUGGAGCCCACUGCUCACCUUCUCAAUGUCCUUGCUGGGGUAGAUGCAGGACUCUCCACCGGCUGUGAAGUUACAGAAGACCUUGAAAGAGUCUCGGGUGCAGCCCUGGUUUGGAUCGAUCCAAUAUUCACCUGAAAGGAAGGACAAUUUUAUUAUAACAGAUGUUUAUUUUUCGGCAGCCUAGAAAAUUAGUGUUGUCUCUGACCUUUCCCAGCUUGCUGUGUGGCCCGAUAUAAUACAUCAGAAGUCCGGUGUUGGAAGGGGACUUGGCAGCUUCAACUGUUGUGUGAGAAGCCACUGGUCGCCCCACCCAUUGCAGCAUAGCCAGGUCCCUUUUAAUCACGUGACUCGCCCAACAUCAUCCGACACACAAGCUGUGUUACCGGUGCACAUGUGCGUGCAUUCAUCAUUAUGCAGAUCCACAGCUUGUGUUCAGGUGAUGUCAGACAAGUCAUGUGAUCAAAAGGUGACUGUGCUGAAAUGGGUGGUGCGACCAAUGUGUGGGAGGGAAAUAAGUCACCUCCCACCUUUUAAACAAAGGAUCCUGGGGUUUGUAGCCUGAGGGACGCCACAGAAACAGGAAGUAGCCAGAUCCCAAAAACAAGCCAGCAGCGUGAUGGGGGACACAGGACACGGCCUUUUUCCACCAACACAAGCAAAGAUCCUUGGGGAGCAUGUCUAUUGCUGUAUGACACUUAAUUACUAAAGACACCUUAUGUUGUAUAAUCCCUUUAAGAUAUAACAGUACCUAAACAUAUCUCUUUGUGUCUGUAUAAUACUGUCAUAUCUGCUUUUAUUGAUCCGUACUGUUCUACC